GCAAGUCGAGGGGUAACAGGAAAUCUUUCUUUCUUUGACGACCGGCGCACGGGUGCGUAACGCGUAUGCAACCUACCUCAUACUGGAGGAUAGCCCCUGGAAACGGGGAUUAAUACUCCAUAGUAUCACGAGUUCUAAUGUUUUUGUGAUUAAAGUUUUUCGGUAUGAGAUGGGCAUGCGUCCCAUUAGCUUGUUGGUGAGGUAACGGCUCACCAAGGCAACGAUGGGUAGGGGGCCUGAGAGGGUGGUC
rnacentral:rRNA from 1 species